rnacentral:rRNA from 1 species
GUGGGGAAUUUUGGACAAUGGGCGAAAGCCUGAUCCAGCCAUGCCGCGUGCAGGAUGAAGGCCUUCGGGUUGUAAACUGCUUUUGUACGGAACGAAAAGACUCCUUCUAAUAAAGGGGGUCCAUGACGGUACCGUAAGAAUAAGCACCGGCUAACUACGUGCCAGCAGCCGCGGUAAUACGUAGGGUGCAAGCGUUAAUCGGAAUUACUGGGCGUAAAGCGUGCGCAGGCGGUUAUAUAAGACAGAGGUGAAAUCCCCGGGCUCAACCUGGGAACUGCAUUUGUGACUGUAUAGCUAGAGUACGGUAGAGGGGGAUGGAAUUCCGCGUGUAGCGGUGAAAUGCGUAGAUAUGCGGAGGAACACCGAUGGCGAAGGCAAUCCCCUGGACCUGUACUGACGCUCAUGCACGAAAGCGUGGGGAGCAAACAGGAUUAGAAACCCCUGUAGUCC